AUUGAACGCUGGCGGCAUGCCUUACACAUGCAAGUCGAACGGUAACGGGCCUUCGGGUGCCGACGAGUGGCGAACGGGUGAGUAAUGCAUCGGAACGUACCUUUCAGUGGGGGAUAACGUAGCGAAAGUUACGCUAAUACCGCAUAUUCUGUGAGCAGGAAAGCAGGGGAUCGCAAGACCUUGCGCUGAUUGAGCGGCCGAUGUCAGAUUAGCUAGUUGGUGAGGUAAAGGCUCACCAAGGCGACGAUCUGUAGCGGGUCUGAGAGGAUGAUCCGCCACACUGGAACUGAGACACGGUCCAGACUCCUACGGGAGGCAGCAGUGGGGAAUUUUGGACAAUGGGGGCAAUCCUGAUCCAGCCAUGCCGCGUGAGUGAAGAAGGCCUUCGGGUUGUAAAGUCGUCUUUCGG
rnacentral:rRNA from 1 species